GGGUUGUGAGGUUAAGCGAACAAGCGUACACGGUGGAUGCCCUGGCAGUCAGAGGCGAUGAAGGACGUGCUAAUCUGCGAAAAGCGCCGGUAAGGUGAUAUGAACCGUUAUAACCGGCGAUGUCCGAAUGGGGAAACCCGGUGCACUUCGGUGCAUCAUCGUUAGCUGAAUACAUAGGCUAACGAGGCGAACCGGGGGAACUGAAACAUCUAAGUACCCCGAGGAAAAGAAAUCAACCGAGAUUCCCCCAGUAGCGGCGAGCGAACGGGGAACAGCCCAGAGCCUGAAUCAGCUUGUGUGUCAGUGGAACGGUCUGGAAAGGCCGGCGAUACAGGGUGACAGCCCCGUACACGAAGGCACACAGGCUGUGAGCUCGAUGAGUAGGGCGGGACACGUGAUAUCCUGUCUGAAGAUGGGGGGACCAUCCUCCAAGGCUAAAUACUCCUGACUGACCGAUAGUGAACCAGUACCGUGAGGGAAAGGCGAAAAGAACCCCGGCGAGGGGAGUGAAACAGAACCUGAAACCGUGUACGUACAAGCAGUGGGAGCCUUCGUAAGAGGGUGACUGCGUACCUUUUGUAUAAUGGGUCAGCGACUUAUAUUCUGUAGCAAGGUUAACCGUAUAGGGGAGCCGAAGGGAAACCGAGUCUUAAUUGGGCGUUAAGUUGCAGGGUAUAGACCCGAAACCCGGUGAUCUAGCCAUGGGCAGGUUGAAGGUUGGGUAACACUAACUGGAGGACCGAACCGACUAAUGUUGAAAAAUUAGCGGAUGACCUGUGGCUGGGGGUGAAAGGCCAAUCAAACCGGGAGAUAGCUGGUUCUCCCCGAAAGCUAUUUAGGUAGCGCCUCGUGAACUCAUCUCCGGGGGUAGAGCACUGUUUCGGCUAGGGGGCCAUCCCGGCUUACCAACCCGAUGCAAACUGCGAAUACCGGAGAAUGUUAUCACGGGAGACACACGGCGGGUGCUAACGUCCGUCGUGAAGAGGGAAACAACCCAGACCGCCAGCUAAGGUCCCAAAGUCAUGGUUAAGUGGGAAACGAUGUGGGAAGGCCCAGACAGCCAGGAUGUUGGCUUAGAAGCAGCCAUCAUUUAAAGAAAGCGUAAUAGCUCACUGGUCGAGUCGGCCUGCGCGGAAGAUGUAACGGGGCUAAACCAUGCACCGAAGCUGCGGCAGCGACACUAUGUGUUGUUGGGUAGGGGAGCGUUCUGUAAGCCUGCGAAGGUGUGCUGUGAGGCAUGCUGGAGGUAUCAGAAGUGCGAAUGCUGACAUAAGUAACGAUAAAGCGGGUGAAAAGCCCGCUCGCCGGAAGACCAAGGGUUCCUGUCCAACGUUAAUCGGGGCAGGGUGAGUCGACCCCUAAGGCGAGGCCGAAAGGCGUAGUCGAUGGGAAACAGGUUAAUAUUCCUGUACUUGGUGUUACUGCGAAGGGGGGACGGAGAAGGCUAUGUCGGCCGGGCGACGGUUGUCCCGGUUUAAGCGUGUAGGCUGACUUUCCAGGCAAAUCCGGAAGGUUAAGGCUGAGGCGUGAUGACGAGGCACCACGGUGCUGAAGUGACAAAUGCCCUGCUUCCAGGAAAAGCCUCUAAGCAUCAGGUAACAUCAAAUCGUACCCCAAACCGACACAGGUGGUCAGGUAGAGAAUACCAAGGCGCUUGAGAGAACUCGGGUGAAGGAACUAGGCAAAAUGGUGCCGUAACUUCGGGAGAAGGCACGCUGACAUGUAGGUGAAGCCCCUGCGGGUGGAGCUGAAGUCAGUCGAAGAUACCAGCUGGCUGCAACUGUUUAUUAAAAACACAGCACUGUGCAAACACGAAAGUGGACGUAUACGGUGUGACGCCUGCCCGGUGCCGGAAGGUUAAUUGAUGGGGUUAUCGCAAGAGAAGCUCCUGAUCGAAGCCCCGGUAAACGGCGGCCGUAACUAUAACGGUCCUAAGGUAGCGAAAUUCCUUGUCGGGUAAGUUCCGACCUGCACGAAUGGCGUAAUGAUGGCCAGGCUGUCUCCACCCGAGACUCAGUGAAAUUGAACUCGCUGUGAAGAUGCAGUGUACCCGCGGCAAGACGGAAAGACCCCGUGAACCUUUACUACAGCUUGACACUGAACAUUGAGCCUUGAUGUGUAGGAUAGGUGGGAGGCUUUGAAGCGUGGACGCCAGUCUGCGUGGAGCCGACCUUGAAAUACCACCCUUUAAUGUUUGAUGUUCUAACCUGGCGCCGUGAUCCGGCGUGGGGACAGUGUCUGGUGGGUAGUUUGACUGGGGCGGUCUCCUCCCAAAGUGUAACGGAGGAGCACGAAGGUCAGCUAAUCCUGGUCGGACAUCAGGAGGUUAGUGCAAUGGCAUAAGCUGGCUUGACUGCGAGAGUGACGGCUCGAGCAGGUGCGAAAGCAGGUCAUAGUGAUCCGGUGGUUCUGUAUGGAAGGGCCAUCGCUCAACGGAUAAAAGGUACUCCGGGGAUAACAGGCUGAUACCGCCCAAGAGUUCAUAUCGACGGCGGUGUUUGGCACCUCGAUGUCGGCUCAUCACAUCCUGGGGCUGAAGUAGGUCCCAAGGGUAUGGCUGUUCGCCAUUUAAAGUGGUACGCGAGCUGGGUUUAGAACGUCGUGAGACAGUUCGGUCCCUAUCUGCCGUGGGCGCUGGAGAAUUGAGGGGGGCUGCUCCCAGUACGAGAGGACCGGAGUGGACGCAUCACUGGUGUUCGGGUUGUCAUGCCAAUGGCACUGCCCGGUAGCUAAAUGCGGAAGAGAUAAGUGCUGAAAGCAUCUAAGCACGAAACUUGCCCCGAGAUGAGUUCUCCCUGAGACUGUAAGUCUCCUGAAGGAACGUUGAAGACGACGACGUUGAUAGGCCGGGUGUGUAAGCGCAGCGAUGCGUUGAGCUAACCGGUACUAAUGAACCGUGAGGCUUAACCUUACAACGCCAAAGAAGU
rnacentral:rRNA from 1 species